ACCUUGUUAGCUCAGUUCGUAGAGGGCUCCACUCGGACUGGAGAGGUCCGUGGUUCGAUACCUGGACCAGGCA
rfam:Ixodes scapularis strain Wikel colony gcontig_1108379232626, whole genome shotgun sequence.